rnacentral:rRNA from 1 species
CAGUCGCCGCGGUAAUACGUAGGGUGCAAGCGUUAAUCGGAAUUACUGGGCGUAAAGCGUGCGCAGGCGGUUUUGUAAGACAGAGGUGAAAUCCCCGGGCUCAACCUGGGAACUGCCUUUGUGACUGCAAGGCUAGAGUACGGCAGAGGGGGAUGGAAUUCCGCGUGUAGCAGUGAAAUGCGUAGAUAUGCGGAGGAACACCGAUGGCGAAGGCAAUCCCCUGGGCCUGUACUGACGCUCAUGCACGAAAGCGUGUGGAGCAAACAGGAUUAGAUACCCGCGUAGUCCCUGUCUCUUAUAU